UGAGCAAUCUGCCCUUCUCUUCGGAAUAAGCGUGGGAAACCGCGUCUAAUGCCGAAUACGACCUCCUUUCACAUGAUCGGAGGUGGAAAGCUCCGGCGGAGAAGGAUGAGCUCGCGGCCUAUCAGCUAGUUGGUGUGGGUAAUGGUCCACCAAGGCGACGACGGGUAGCCGGCCUGG
rnacentral:rRNA from 1 species